rnacentral:misc_RNA from 1 species
AGCAGCCGCGGUAAUUCCAGCUCCAAUAGCGUAUAUUAAAGUUGUUGCAGUUAAAAGCUCGUAGUUGAAUUUCGGGAUCAGUUGGUCGGUCGUGCCUCGGUACGUACUGGUCAAAUUGAUUCCUACCUUCUGACGAACCACGAUGUCAUUAAUUUGGUGUCGCGGGAAAUCAGGACUGUUACUUUGAAAAGAUUAGAGUGUUUAAAGCAGGCUCGCGCUUGAAUACAUUAGCAUGGAAUAAUGAAAUAGGACGUUUGAUUCUAUUUUGUUGGUUUCUAGGAUCGACGUAAUGAUUAAUAGGGAUAGUUGGGGGCAUUAGUAUUCAAUUGUCAGAGGUGAAAUUCUUGGAUUUAUUGAAGACUAACUACUGCGAAAGCAUUUGCCAAGGAUGUUUUCAUUAAUCAAGAACGAAAGUUAGGGAUCGAAGACGAUCAGAUACCGUCGUAGUCUUAACCAUAAACUAUGCCGACUAGGGAUCGGACGAUGUUAAUUUUUAAUGACUCAUUCGGCGCCUUAAC